rnacentral:rRNA from 1 species
CCCCAUGGAGCUUCAAACCCAACUACACCCCUAGCUCUUAUAGCCCCACAACCCCCCUAGGCACCGUGUGCUUGGUUUUAGGUUGGGGCGACCGCGGAGUACAAUAAAACCUCCACAAUGAAUGGGAACACCCCCUUAUCUGAGGGCCACACCCCCUAAGAAUUAGAACACUAACAUAAAAUGAUCCAUUACUUGAUCAAUGAACCAAGUUACCCUGGGGAUAACAGCGCAAUCCAUUUCAAGAGCCCCUAUCGACAAAUGGGUUUACGACCUCGAUGUUGGAUCAGGGUACCCCAGUGGUGCAGCAGCUACUAACGGUUCGUUUGUUCAACGAUUAAAACCCU